rnacentral:rRNA from 1 species
AGAGUUUGAUCCUGGCUCAGGAUGAACGCUGGCGGCGUGCUUAACACAUGCAAGUCGAACGAAGCACCUUGAUUUGAUUCUUCGGAUGAAGAUCUUGGUGACUGAGUGGCGGACGGGUGAGUAACGCGUGGGUAACCUGCCUCAUACAGGGGGAUAACAGUUAGAAAUGACUGCUAAUACCGCAUAAGACCACAGCACCGCAUGGUGCAGGGGUAAAAACUCCGGUGGUAUGAGAUGGACCCGCGUCUGAUUAGGCAGUUGGUGGGGUAACGGCCUACCAAGCCGACGAUCAGUAGCCGACCUGAGAAGGUGACCGGCCACAUUGGGACUGAGACACGGCCCAAACUCCUACGGGAGGCAGCAGUGGGGAAUAUUGCACAAUGGGGGAAACCCUGAUGCAGCGACGCCGCGUGAGCGAUGAAGUAUUUCGGUAUGUAAAGCUCUAUCAGCAGGGAAGAAAAUGACGGUACCUGACUAAGAAGCACCGGCUAAAUACGUGCCAGCAGCCGCGGUAAUACGUAUGGUGCAAGCGUUAUCCGGAUUUACUGGGUGUAAAGGGAGCGUAGACGGAGUGGCAAGUCUGAUGUGAAAACCCGGGGCUCAACCCCGGGACUGCAUUGGAAACUGUCAAUCUAGAGUACCGGAGAGGUAAGCGGAAUUCCUAGUGUAGCGGUGAAAUGCGUAGAUAUUAGGAGGAACACCAGUGGCGAAGGCGGCUUACUGGACGGUAACUGACGUUGAGGCUCGAAAGCGUGGGGAGCAAACAGGAUUAGAUACCCUGGUAGUCCACGCCGUAAACGAUGACUACUAGGUGUCGCGCAGCAAAGCUGUUCGGUGCCGCAGCAAACGCUAUAAGUAGUCCA